UACAGAGGGGGCAAGCGUUGUUCGGAAUUACUGGGCGUAAAGGGCGCGUAGGCGGCCUGCUAAGUCGAACGUGAAAUCCCUGGGCUCAACCCAGGAACUGCGUCCGAUACUGGUUGGCUUGAAUCCGGGAGAGGGAUGUGGAAUUCCAGGUGUAGCGGUGAAAUGCGUAGAUAUCCGGAGGAACACCGGUGGCGAAGGCGGCUUCCUGGACCGAUUACUGACGCUGAGGCGCGAAAGCUAGGGGAGCAAACGGG
rnacentral:rRNA from 1 species